GACGAACGCUGGCGGCGUGCUUAACACAUGCAAGUCGAACGGAAAGGCCCUGCUUUUGUGGGGUGCUCGAGUGGCGAACGGGUGAGUAACACGUGAGUAACCUGCCCUUGACUUUGGGAUAACUUCAGGAAACUGGGGCUAAUACCGGAUAGGAGCUCCUGCUGCAUGGUGGGGGUUGGAAAGUUUCGGCGGUUGGGGAUGGACUCGCGGCUUAGCAGCUUGUUGGUGGGGUAGUGGCUUACCAAGGCUUUGACGGGUAGCCGGCCUGAGAGGGUGACCGGCCACAUUGGGACUGGGAUGCGGCCCAGACUCCUACGGGAGGCAGCAGUGCGGAAGAUUGCACAAUGGGCGGAAGCCUGAUGCAGCAACGCCGCGUGCGGGAUGACGGCCUUCGGGUUGUAAACCGCUUUCGCCUGUGACGAAGCGUGAGUGACGGUAAUGGGUAAAGAAGCACCGGCUAACUACGUG
rnacentral:rRNA from 1 species